GUGUAAUAAAAUAUUGUAAAUAAUCAUAUUUUGUAGUAAACAACACAUAGCAUGUUAAGAUAGACUACUAUUGUAGAUGAGAAGUUGGGAAGGUAGGAUAUAUAGAGGACUUUAAUGUAUAUCUUUAAGCAAAGUUAAAUCAUUGCUAAUGAAAACUGAUUCUGAGGGGAGCUGGGUAAGAUACUGUUAUACCUGCAUCUACUGUUUCAGUCCAACUACC